GACGAACGCUGGCGGCGUGCCUAAUACAUGCAAGUAGAACGCUGAAGGAGGAGCUUGCUUCUCUGGAUGAGUUGCGAACGGGUGAGUAACGCGUAGGUAACCUGCCUGGUAGCGGGGGAUAACUAUUGGAAACGAUAGCUAAUACCGCAUAAUAGUAGAUGUUGCAUGACAUUUGCUUAAAAGGUGCAAUUGCAUCACUACCAGAUGGACCUGCGUUGUAUUAGCUAGUUGGUGGGGUAACGGCUCACCAAGGCGACGAUACAUAGCCGACCUGAGAGGGUGAUCGGCCACACUGGGACUGAGAAACGGCCCAGACUCCUACGGGAGGCAGCAGUAGGGAAUCUUCGGCAAUGGACGGAAGUCUGACCGAGCAACGCCGCGUGAGUGAAGAAGGUUUUCGGAUCGUAAAGCUCUGUUGUAAGAGAAGAACGAAUGUGGGAGUGGAAAGUUCACACUGUGACGGUACCUUACCAGAAAGGGACGGCUAACUACGUG
rnacentral:rRNA from 1 species